rnacentral:rRNA from 1 species
GAUAAACGCUGGCGGCGUGCCUAAUACAUGCAAGUCGAGCGAACGGACGAGAAGCUUGCUUCUCUGAUGUUAGCGGCGGACGGGUGAGUAACACGUGGAUAACCUACCUAUAAGACUGGGAUAACUUCGGGAAACCGGAGCUAAUACCGGAUAAUAUUUUGAACCGCAUGGUUCAAAAGUGAAAGACGGUCUUGCUGUCACUUAUAGAUGGAUCCGCGCUGCAUUAGCUAGUUGGUAAGGUAACGGCUUACCAAGGCAACGAUGCAUAGCCGACCUGAGAGGGUGAUCGGCCACACUGGAACUGAGACACGGUCCAGACUCCUACGGGAGGCAGCAGUAGGGAAUCUUCCGCAAUGGGCGAAAGCCUGACGGAGCAACGCCGCGUGAGUGAUGAAGGUCUUCGGAUCGUAAAACUCUGUUAUUAGGGAAGAACAUAUGUGUAAGUAACUGUGCACAUCUUGACGGUACCUAAUCAGAAAGCCACGGCUAACUACGUGCCAGCAGCCGCGGUAAUACGUAGGUGGCAAGCGUUAUCCGGAAUUAUUGGGCGUAAAGCGCGCGUAGGCGGUUUUUUAAGUCUGAUGUGAAAGCCCACGGCUCAACCGUGGAGGGUCAUUGGAAACUGGAAAACUUGAGUGCAGAAGAGGAAAGUGGAAUUCCAUGUGUAGCGGUGAAAUGCGCAGAGAUAUGGAGGAACACCAGUGGCGAAGGCGACUUUCUGGUCUGUAACUGACGCUGAUGUGCGAAAGCGUGGGGAUCAAACAGGAUUAGAUACCCUGGUAGUCCACGCCGUAAACGAUGAGUGCUAAGUGUUAGGGGGUUUCCGCCCCUUAGUGCUGCAGCUAGCGCAUUAAGCACUCCGCCUGGGGAGUACGACCGCAAGGUUGAAACUCAAAGGAAUUGACGGGGACCCGCACAAGCGGUGGAGCAUGUGGUUUAAUUCGAAGCAACGCGAAGAACCUUACCAAAUCUUGACAUCCUUUGACAACUCUAGAGAUAGAGCCUUCCCCUUCGGGGGACAAAGUGACAGGUGGUGCAUGGUUGUCGUCAGCUCGUGUCGUGAGAUGUUGGGUUAAGUCCCGCAACGAGCGCAACCCUUAAGCUUAGUUGCCAUCAUUAAGUUGGGCACUCUAAGUUGACUGCCGGUGACAAACCGGAGGAAGGUGGGGAUGACGUCAAAUCAUCAUGCCCCUUAUGAUUUGGGCUACACACGUGCUACAAUGGACAAUACAAAGGGCAGCGAAACCGCGAGGUCAAGCAAAUCCCAUAAAGUUGUUCUCAGUUCGGAUUGUAGUCUGCAACUCGACUACAUGAAGCUGGAAUCGCUAGUAAUCGUAGAUCAGCAUGCUACGGUGAAUACGUUCCCGGGUCU